GGCAAAUUCACACGCUACAUUAUCAACUUCAUGCUUCACAUCUUAGAAAAUGGUUAGAGCUGAAUAUUUAAGACUUCUUCUAUUCAUAACUGUGAUGUGUGGUGUGGAUGGCACAACAGAGCUGUGCACAUGUAGCUGCUUUUCUGAUCAACCAAAGUAAGAAAUCCAGUUCAUUUAACUGUGAAAAACGAUUAAUAGUUUUCUUGUUG